rnacentral:rRNA from 1 species
GACGAACGCUGGCGGCGCGCUUAACACAUACAAGUCGAACGGAAAGGCCUGCUUUCCCUUGUGGAUUGCGGGUACUCGAGUGGCGAACGGGUGAGUAACACGUGAGUGAUCUGCCCCCAACUUGGGUAUAAGCCUGGGAAACUGGGUCUAAUUCCCGAUAGGACUGCAGGGUGGUGCCUGUGGUGGAAAACGAUUUUCUAGUGGUUGGGGAUGAGCUCGCGGCCUAUCAGCUUGUUGGUGGGGUAAUGGCCUACCAAGGCGGCGACGGGUAGCCGGCCUGAGAGGGUGGACGGCCACAUUGGGACUGAGAUACGGCCCAGACUCCUACGGGAGGCAGCAGUGGGGAAUAUUGCACAAUGGGCGGAAGCCUGAUGCAGCGACGCCGCGUGGGGGAUGACGGCCUUCGGGUUGUAAACUCCUUUCGACCGCGAGGAAGCCACCUGGUUGGAAGGGUGGUGACGGUAGUGGUAGAAGAAGCACCGGCUAACUACGUG